CCAUACCUGUCAAGUAUCCCGUUUUGGCCAGGAAAGUCCCGUAUUUUACCCUUCUUUCCUGCCGUCCUCCCGUAUUAGUAUUUUCCCGUAAAUCUCCCGUAUUUUAACCUGCGUUAUUAAAAAAUAGUAAUACCCCGGGCGGAAUAAAAAAAACAAAAAACAUUCCCAAUCUGAGCUCUGUCACUAGCCUCGCGAUAACUGCCACCUGCAGUAGCCUACUACAGGUACUGUAGGUGGCAGUUGUCGUGAGGUUAGUGUGUGAGGUCAGAUGAUGAGUCACAACGCGUGGGAAAAAACAAAAGAGACGGAUGA